rnacentral:tRNA from 1 species
GGGCCCGUAGCUCAGCUAGCUUUGAACUGAUGUUCAAGUUUUUCAGGCAAGGCCUGAAAUGGAUAGAGCGAUGCUCUCCUAAGGCAUAGGUCACGAGUUCAAAUCUCGUCGGGUCCG